GAUGAACGCUGGCGGCGUGCCUAAUACAUGCAAGUCGAGCGAACAGACGAGGAGCUUGCCCCUCUGACGGUAGCGGCGGACGGGUGAGUAACACGUGGAUAACCUAACUAUAUGACUGGGAUAACUUCGAGACACCGGAGCUUAUACCGGAUAAUAUAUUGAACCGCAUGGUUCAAUAGUGAAAGACGGUUUUGCUGUUACUUAUAGAUGGUUCCGCGCCGCAUUAGCUAGUAGGUAAGGUAACGGCAUACCAAGGCAACGAUGGGUAGCCGACAUGAGAGGGUGGACGGCCACCCGACAAGUGAGGCACAGCCGACACACCUGCGGUGAGACACGGUACAGAAUCCUACGCGAGGGAGGAAAGCCUGAUGGAGCAACGUCGCGUGAGUGAUGAAGGUCUUCGGACGGGAAAACGCUGUUGUUAGGGAAGAACUAAAGCGUAAGUAACUAGGCAGGUAAUGACGGUACUUGAUCAGAAAGCCACGGCUAACUACGUG
rnacentral:rRNA from 1 species